UUGGUGACAGUAGAGUGAAAUAUCAGAAGUCAGCAGAGGUCAUAGUAGUAAUAGAAACAUUAUGAAGGAC
rnacentral:ncRNA from 1 species